GUAGGGAAUAUUGCUUAAUCUGCGAAAGCGGGAAGCAGCAACGCCGCGUGUGCGAUGAAGGCCUUCGGGUUGUAAAGCACUUUUUGGUGGGAUGAGGAAGGACAGUACCACCAGAAUAAGCCUCGGCUAACUACGUGCCAGCAGCCGCGGUAACACGUAGGAGGCGAGCGUUAUUCGGAUUUACUGGGUGUAAAGCGCGUGCAGGCGGUUCGGUAAGUUGGAUGUGAAAGCUCCUGGCUUAACUGGGAGAGGUCGUUCAAUACUGUCGGACUUGAGAGCAGUAGAGGGAGAUGGAAUUCCGGGUGUAGUGGUGAAAUGCGUAGAUAUCCGGAGGAACACCAGUGGCGAAAGCGGUCUCCUGGACUGUUUCUGACGCUCAGACGCGAAAGCUAGGGUAGCAAACGGGAUUAGAUACCCUGGUAGUCC
rnacentral:rRNA from 1 species